rfam:Mus musculus chromosome 11, GRC primary reference assembly.
UUUUUUGCUUCGUUUUUGAGAUAAGUGGUUUUCCCAGGGCGAGGCUUAUCCAUUGCACUUCGGAUGUGCUGAGCCCUGCGAUUUCCCCAAAUGCGGGGAAACUCGACUGCAUAAUUUGUGGUAGUGGGAAAUUGUGCUCUCCCCU